rnacentral:pre_miRNA from 1 species
UUUAAAUAUAGUUAUAAGUUUACAUGUCCAACGUUUAAUCAUUCGUCUUAUUUAAAAUUAUUUUAUGAUCAGUAUCUUUGUUGUAAUAAGAUGAUAAAAUAUAAAUGGUACUUUAUGUAUGGUUUAUUUUUAUUUUUUUCAUAUUUUUUUAAAUAAGACGGAUAGUCAAAUAUUUGAAUAAAUAAUAUAUAUCUGCACUAGAC